CCUCACCCAAAGCCAGGCAGAUCAGAGGCAUUGCUCUCCCAACCACAGUGCAGGAGGCAAUAGCUGGAGGGAGAUGGGCAUUAGUUUUGGUCAGUGAGAGGGCAGAGCUGUGCCCUGCAGGAGCAGAGAGCCACCCCUUCUGCACCCACCUGAGUUCUGUUCACCAUUUCCCAGGUAUUCCUUCUGGGUGCACGCUUUGCGCCCAAACUGCUCCUGUAAGGCAUGGGGGUUCUCCUCCCUCUCCUUUCUCAGACUGAGGAUGGACAAAGCUGCUGGUUUCAUAGCAGUGCAAGUGGACAGACAGCCCUGGUACUGACCCAGCCAUGUUCCCACCUGCCAGGGCUUGAUCCACACCCUCCAAACAGACCCAGGGUGCUGUUUUCUACCUGGAGAUCUAACUGCUAAUAGUUCUGCCCUGCUUCUCCUUCCUGAGCUAAUCUUAUGACUCACUGUGCAUUUCUUUCUGCCUUGUUUUACUAAUCUGCUUGGCAUUUGGUGGUUUCUUUGUUCAUUAUGCAGCGGGGCCGCAUAAGGGAUUUGCCUCUGGAAUUCAGGAGAGCCCUCCAAGUUUUGCCGCCCUCCAAUUGUUGCCACAAGCCCUGUACCUGCAGCACAGCAGACAUGACCUCCUGUCCUGCAGUCACUGUGCCCUUCAGACAAACAAUUCCACUCAGCCUCCUUCUUCAUGUAAUGGAAUCAUAGAAUGGCUUGGGUUGAAAAGGACCACAGUGACCAUCUAGUUUCAACCCCCUACUAUGUGCAGGGUUGCCAACCACUAGACCAGGCUGCCAUGCAUCCCAUCCUCUGCUUGCAAGCUGCUGAGUGAGUGCUGUCAUGCUGGGGCAUCCCCAGGCAAUAUGGGGUCCCUGGGCAAUGGGCUGUGAGGCUCUGAAUUUCAAUCAGGCAUUGGUAGUCACCAGCCCAGAUAGCAAAGUCCUUACAGAGCUGCAGUACAGUGAGCUCCUACACCAUGUCCAUUUAGGGGAGAAAAGCUCAGCAAUUCAGACAUGUUACAAUUUACAGAUCUAGGGAAAAAGGCUCAGUUACUCCUCACAGCAAGAGACAGUCAUGUGCAUGGCAGGGGACUGGCAAGAGACCAAGACAUGAGCUGAGACCUGCUGCUUGGACUGAGAUCUUCAAUUCCUCCAGAGAAAGAUCACGAAGCCAUUUAAAGAAAGGAAAGACAAAAGAGAACACUAAUAAAUCUCACAGAUGGACUCAGGACAAGCUUCACAUCUUCCUCUGACACUCCUGAUGCCUGCAUGGCUGACAGUGGUGCCAGCACCAGGCAGGGCUCCGGGGCUGCUGGCUGCUGCUGGGCUCUGUCCGAGGGACUGCAGCCUCAGUGCUGAAUACCCAAUACUGAAAACCUCUGCCCAUCUGUCCUGCACUACAAAACAGCCUCAGGGUGUUAUCCAGUCCUGGGGUCAGCUCAUACUCCAGAAUUAGCCUGCAGCACAGCCGAUUUCGUUUCAGAAUUACAGUGAGAGCCAUAGCUUAAUACUUCUCACGGAGUGUAUCAGAGUUCCUAUUGUUGCCAUGGUUAUUUCAUCGAAGCCUGAGCUAUAACUUGAACACUGAAAUAAAUGAGUAUCAGAAUCAGCUGAAUAGCCCUGAGCAGCAAACACCACUGUGGGUUGCUAACUGAGCCCUUGCCUGCUCAUUACCUGAUGGAGGCUGUUCUCAAGUUUCACUUAACACCACUGCUAGAGCAGUAGGUACCUUUUAUUUCACUUGUCACCUGGCCUGAAUCCCAUUACCUCCUGACAAAUAGUGAGAUUAAACCUUAUUUUCUUAUGGGCUCCUUCAAGACUGUACUGGAGAAGCUUAGCAGCCUUCUACAGAUGGAGCAACCCCUCACCCAAGCAGGACCUGGAGAGGUACAGGCAGCAAUGGCCCCUGUAGCCACCGUGCAGCUUCUGAGGAGCAGUGUGAUGGGAAGGGCCAUCACUGCCAGGCAGGAGCACUGCUUCUCAGUGCCCAUCUGGUCCACACUGCAAGUGAAAUCACACAGCAAAUCUGGUUUCUAUCUGCCUUGAUAUCUUUUGUCCUCAUCUCUCCCUAUUUUUUUCUUGUUUUUUUUUUCUCCCUCUUUCCUUUAUUGUCUUUU
rnacentral:lncRNA from 1 species